rnacentral:tRNA from 1 species
GCCGAAGUAGCCAAAUUGGCAUAGGCAAUCGCCUCAAAAGUGAUAAUUUGUGAGUUCGAAUCUCACCUUCGGUA